rnacentral:rRNA from 1 species
CCUACGGGAGGCAGCAGUGAGGAAUAUUGGUCAAUGGCCGUAAGGCUGAACCAGCCAAGUCGCGUGAGGGAAGAAGGAUCUAUGGAUUGUAAACUUCUUUUAUAGGGGAAUAAAGGUAUCCACGUGUGGAUAUUUGCAUGUACCCUAUGAAUAAGCAUCGGCUAACUCCGUGCCAGCAGCCGCGGUAAUACGGAGGAUGCGAGCGUUAUCCGGAUUUAUUGGGUUUAAAGGGUGCGUAGGUUGGUUUUUAAGUCAGCGGUGAAAGUUUGUGGCUCAACCAUAAAAUUGCCGUUGAAACUGGAAGGCUUGAGUGGGUUUGAGGUAGGCGGAAUGCGUGGUGUAGCGGUGAAAUGCAUAGAUAUCACGCAGAACUCCGAUUGCGAAGGCAGCUUACUAAGCCAUAACUGACACUGAGGCACGAAAGCGUGGGGAUCAAACAGGAUUAGAUACCCUGGUAGUC